GCUCAGACACCGGGGAUGCGUGAGCACCCCCUUUUAGGUUUGGCAGUGGGCAACGGGGAUGGCUCCGGCGAUGGCCGACGGGGCCGAUGUAAAGCGUAGGGACACGAUGAACACGAGAUGUAACAUCCCAAAAUUCAAAACCUUUCAUAUGCAUUGCAUCCAUAAGCAUCAUGCCACAAUUGCAUGUUUGAAUUCAAAUUUGAAUCUCAAAAGGCUUUAAAAGUUCUGAUUUCAAUUUAAACCUUAGGGUUUACAUCCAUUUGAGCUUUGGAUCUUCAACCAAUAGGUUUUAUGUGUAAAAGGGGUUUAAUGCAUAUAUAAGCUAUCCCAUAAUUUUUGAAUAAUUAUUUGGAGUUAAAAAAGUAUUUUAUUUAAAUAGUUAUAUAGCCCUAAAGGCAUUUAUAGGGAAAAUGUAUUUUUAUAUAUUUCAUUUUGAGGGGAAAUCACUCCCAAAACUUGUAUAAUGGUAAAACAUGAUUUUACAAAUUUUUUGGAAUUUAUUUGGACCAAUUUGGAGUUCAAAAUCAAAAGUUAUCAAAGAAAUGAGAAAAGCAGAAAAAGAAAAGGGCUAAAAGAAAAAAAAAAGGGAGAAAC
rnacentral:lncRNA from 1 species